CAUAAAAUGCAUUCACAUCGGACCUAAGUAAAUGUUGUCUGUGAAUUUCGACACAUGUAAAUUCUCUCUUUGGCAUGUAAAAUUGUUAAUGCCAGCCACAAACAAAAACAAACAAACAAACCAUCCAGUGACGAAACCAACAAUUUUGCUGCAGGAAAAAAAGGAUAAAAAAACUGAUGAAAAUUAUAACGAAAAUAAACACAGGAAUUAUUUAAGUGGAUAAUCAAAACAAAACUUCAAAUACAGGCAUAUGCAAAUUUUCAAAACUAACAUUCAAUUUGAAAUGUUUGAACGGAAGCAAUGGAGGGCAUUUAGCAUACUCUUUGUCAUUUGCAAGAAUAUUAAAGCUGAUCCCACUUGAACGAUCGAAAAAGUAAAGAAGACUACAAGCAGGGACCCAAACAAGGGACCAAAAGGGUUUCAAUGGCAUUUAGUAAAGUAGAUUAAAUCGAUCAGAAAAAUCAGGUAAAACGUGUUGUGGUCUGCCUUGCCGCAUCUUGUAAACCUUGCACCUUGCACCAAUA
rnacentral:sRNA from 1 species